rnacentral:rRNA from 1 species
GGGGAAUAUUGCACAAUGGGGGAAACCCUGAUGCAGCAACGCCGCGUGAAGGAAGAAGGCCUUUGGGUCGUAAACUUCUGUUCUGAGGGAGGAAAGUGACGGUACCUCAGGAGCAAGUCCCGGCUAACUACGUGCCAGCAGCCGCGGUAAUACGUAGGGGGCAAGCGUUAUCCGGAAUUAUUGGGCGUAAAGAGUACGUAGGUGGUUACCUAAGCACGGGGUAUAAGGCAAUGGCUCAACCAUUGUUUGCCUUGUGAACUGGGCUACUUGAGUGCAGGAGAGGAAAGCGGAAUUCCUAGUGUAGCGGUGAAAUGCGUAGAUAUUAGGAGGAACACCAGUGGCGAAGGCGGCUUUCUGGACUGUAACUGACACUGAGGUACGAAAGCGUGGGGAGCAAAC